GGGUUAAGUCCCGCAACGAGCGCAACCCUUGUCCAUAGUUACUAACGGGUAGUGCCGAGAACUCUAUGGAGACUGCCGGUGAUAAACCGGAGGAAGGUGGGGAUGACGUCAAGUCCUCAUGGCCUUUAUGUCCAGGGCUACGCACGUGCUACAAUGGACGGCACAAAGAGUCGCAAUACCGCGAGGUUGAGCUAAUCUCAAAAAACCGUUCUCAGUUCGGAUUGCAGUCUGCAACUCGACUGCAUGAAGCUGGAAUCGCUAGUAAUCGCGGAUCAGCACGCCGCGGUGAAUACGUUCCCGGGCCUUGUACACACCGCCCGUCACAUCACGAAAGUCGGUUGCACUAGAAGUCGGUGGGCUAACCCGGGAGGAAAGCAGCCGCCUAAAGUGUGAUCGGUAAUUGGGGUGAAGUCGUAACAAUGUUAAAGCA
rnacentral:rRNA from 1 species